GUGGGAAUCUGGGAGUUGAGGAAGAGCAAAAGACGGCUGCAUUGGGGAAUAAUGAAAAAUGAGGAGCUUGUGAGUGAGAGGGACUGAUAAGAUAAAAUGCAUUUAGGUUGCCUAUCCGAUGUCAGAAGCCAUGGCCUGCUGCUCUGACGUUGCCUUUUCACAGAGCAUUUCUUGAAGGUUCCCAAGCUGCAGGUGCCCAGGCCUACACCUGCCUUCAGGCUUUCCUGUGAAGAGAUACGAGAAGACCAGCAUUUUACAACCGACUUCAAGGAACAUUAGAAACUCAGAAUAACCUGCUUGCUUUGAACUCAUUUGGACAAAGGAG
rnacentral:lncRNA from 1 species